rnacentral:rRNA from 1 species
CCUACGGGAGGCAGCAGUAAGGAAUAUUGGUCAAUGGGCGGAAGCCUGAACCAGCCAUGCCGCGUGCAGGAAGACGGCCUACGGGUUGUAAACUGCUUUUGCAGGGGAAUAUGUACUCUGAGAAUAAGGAUCGGCUAACUCCGUGCCAGCAGCCGCGGUAAUACGGAGGAUCCGAGCGUUAUCCGGAUUUAUUGGGUUUAAAGGGUGCGUAGGCGGCCUGUUAAGUCAGGGGUGAAAGACGGUAGCUUAACUAUCGCAGUGCCUUUGAUACUGACGGGCUUGAAUGUAGUUGAGGCAGGCGGAAUGUGACAAGUAGCGGUGAAAUGCAUAGAUAUGUCACAGAACACCAAUUGCGAAGGCAGCUUGCUAAGUUGAUUGACGCUGAGGCACGAAAGCGUGGGGAUCAAACAGGAUUAGAUACCCUUGUAGUC